UACGGAGGAGGCAAGCGUUAUCCGGAAUUAUUGGGCGUAAAGCGUCCGCAGGUGGCACUUCAAGUCUGUCGUCAAAGACUGGGGCUUAACCCUGGAAAGGCGGUGGAAAACUGAAGCGCUAGAGUGCGGUAGGGGGUAGAGGGAAUUCCCGGUGUAGCGGUGAAAAUGCGUAGAGAUCGGGGAAAGAACAUCGGUGGCGAAAAGCGGGGUUUGCUGGGGCCCGACACUGACGCUGAUGCGCGAAAAGCCAGGGGGGAGCAAACAGG
rnacentral:rRNA from 1 species